rfam:Pseudomonas putida KT2440 complete genome.
GUCCAUGGCGGCUGUUCGCAGGAGGCUUCGUGCCUGCUGGGUUUUAGAUCUCCCACCCGGUUUACCACCCUGCGUACAGCUGCCACCCAU